rnacentral:rRNA from 1 species
UUCUGGUUGAUCCCGCCAGAGGUUACUGCUAUCGAGGUUCGACUAAGCCAUGCGAGUCGAAUGUAGCAAUACAUGGCGUACUGCUCAGUAACACGUGGAUAACCUACCCAUGAGACGGGGAUAAACCCGGGAAACUGGGUAUAAUACCCGAUAGAUCUCGACUGCUGGAAUGCAUCGAGCUCUAAAGCUCCGGCGCUCAAGGAUGGGUCUGCGGCCUAUCAGGUAGUAGUGGGUGUAGCGUACCUACUAGCCUACGACGGGUACGGGUUGUGAGAGCAAGAGCCCGGAGAUGGAUUCUGAGACACGAAUCCAGGCCCUACGGGGUGCAGCAGGCGCGAAAACUUUACAAUGCUGGAAACAGCGAUAAGGGGACCUCGAGUGCCAGGUUACAAAUCUGGCUGUCGUGAUGCCUAAAAAGCAUUGCAUAGCAAGGGCCGGGCAAGACCGGUGCCAGCCGCCGCGGUAACACCGGCGGCUCGAGUGGUAACCGUUAUUAUUGGGUCUAAAGGGUCUGUAGCCGGCCGGAUAAGUCUCUUGGGAAAUCUGGCAGCUUAACUGUCAGGCUUUCAGGAGAUACUGUCUGGCUCGAGGCCGGGAGAGGUGAGAGGUACUUCAGGGGUAGGGGUGAAAUCUUGUAAUCCUUGAAGGAUCACCAGUGGCGAAGGCGUCUCACCAGAACGGACCUGACGGCAAGGGACGAAAGCUAGGGGCACGAACCGGAUUAGAUACCCGGGCAGUCCUAGCCGUAAACGAUACUCGCUAGGUGUCGGCCACGGUGCGACCGUUGUCGGUGCCGUAGGGAAGCCGUGAAGCGAGCCACCUGGGAAGUACGGCCGCAAGGCUGAAACUAAAAGGAAUUGGCGGG